rnacentral:rRNA from 1 species
GGCAUUAGGGUUCCCAUGACCAUGCUUGCCAUGUUUGAGCUCCUCAAGCACGCCCCUAAGCUCGUUGAGAAGGGCAGGAAGACGCUUAUUGUCCAUGGUACACAGACUAGCGCAGUUUUAAACUCCAUGCUGUCAUAUCUUUUUCACCUAAAGCAUGAUCAUUCUGUGAAGUAUGCCAAGAAUAACGACAACAUCAGACCAAUUGAGAGUGGGGGUUAAACUUCCCUGGAGUUCUUCUCCCUUAAAUCUACUGCAGCAUUUUACUCACAUUUCCCAUUCUGUAGUUGGUGA